AUGCUAAAAUUUGCAUUUCAGGAUCAUGCUUCUGGCUCAGAAAAUGAUAAGAAUGGCUCAGCCUCCCAGCCCAGCCACCAAUCAGACAUAGGGAAGCAGGGCCUUGGCCUCCUGGGCACCUCUCUCCCUGUGCAUGCUGCUGUAAAGGGGAAGGAGGAAGAGAUGAUUCGCUUUAUUUCUAAUGCUGCAUAUAAGAGAAAUUUUACAAACAUUUCUAUCAGAGUAUUAAAAUUUUACACAACUCAAAUUAACAAAGCUGUCAACCUGAAAGCCCCAGGAAGGAAGGACAGACCAUUCAGUGAAGAGUGGCAUUGGCAGCGCCCCUUGGCGGGCCACCAGAAUACUUAUAUGUAUUCUGAUUGAUCAGGGCCUGAGCAUCUUUGUUGUUAGAGGCAACACUUUAGGUUAAGAAAGUGCUAGAGGCCUCACAAGAGCAAGGUCCUGAGUUUGAUCUCAGGUACCAAAAAAAGAAGA
rnacentral:lncRNA from 1 species